GCUCGCUUAGCUCAGUGGUAGAGCGUGGGAUUGCAGAUCCUAAGGGUAUGUCGCGCUCAACUUCGGAUCGCUUGAGUUUCGCUAACAAACGGGACAGUCGGUUGUUCGACCCAGCCAGCGAGCU